GCUGAUACUGCACAGAUGGAGCAUGUUUCAUUGCAGCGACAGGUUUAAGAGACAAAGCUGGAUUAUAUUGAUGUUAUUGAGAUUUCUGGUGAACCAAGUUUCAUGUUUAUCUUGUUAUCAAAGGAGGAAAUAUUAAACUUGGAAGCAAAUGGUAUGGGCCAAUGUUGGGAAUGUAUGUAUAUUAUUCCUUAGUUCUUAUGUAUGUGGAUGCAUGUUUUCUUGCAUUUCAUAUUUUCAUUUCACUGUAAAAAACUACAGUAUUAUGGGUUUUUUUUAAACUUAUUCAAUGUUCUGCAGCUCAGCAUAUAUUUAAGUCAUUAAUGGUCAUACAUACAGUAUUUCUCGGUUUAUUUGAAUGUGAUUAGGCCCAAUAGUAAUGUAAAUGAGGUUUAAAUGAAUGCUCUACAACUGUUUUGUACAAACACCUGUUUUGUAAAUGCAGGUCAGGUCUUUUGUAGAGGUGUUUGUUCAGCACACAGAUUUGGAUGGUGAACCAGAUGGCGAGCCACCCAGUUUGAUGAGGAAUCUAUCGUAUCCAGGAGGAGACAAGGUUUUCCAUACAGAUCCAAUUUUGAGACCUAUCAAAGGAACUGCAGUGUUUGGUAUGACUGUUACCUACACAAGUCCAUCUCAAGUCUAUUUGGAAGGAUAUUGAGGACAAAGGAAUUCAAUUCUCAUAUUGACUAUUUUGAUACACACACACUGAUAAACAUAAACACACAUUCAAUUGUUUUUUUGCCGGCUAAUGUUUUGUGAUUUGUACUGUUUUGUUAGCUCACUAAAGUGAAUCUAUUUGUUGUGUUGCUUUGUCUUACUUGAACUCCAACGAACCUAGCAGCGGUGUAUUUUCCCAUAGAUGGGUUACAUGUAUUUUUAUAAUCUGUGUUGUGAUGUUUGUGUUUAUAAUCUGUGUGUGAGUAUUUGUUCUCUUGUGCAUAAUUUUAAUGUCAGUUUAUAAAUAGAGCAGCCCCUAAGCUGCUGUUACUCAUUCUCUCACAAUACCAGUCACACGAUGGCAAGCGCGAGUGAGCCGCAUGCAAAGGCGAAACUGCAGAGAAAAGCAAAUAAGAUCCAUGAAAAGAAGGCGGAAGCAGAUGAGCAGCAUCAAAAGGUGGCAGUCCUGCGGAGUAAAGCGGGUGACUUGCUUGCAGAGAAGGUGAAGCUGCUGUGUGAUGUGGAUACGCAGCGUAUAGAAGAGGAGCGACUGCUAAGUACAGCGGAUACGCUGUGUUUAAAUGAGCAGCGGAAUGAAGGGGAAACUCUGCGUGAAGAUUUUGUGGUGCUGCGGUUUCAAGCGUGUAUGAAGAAGAAAAAGGAAGAGCAGCUGCUGUGUAAAGUGGAUGAGCUGGAACAAAAGGAGAGGCAGCUGUGGAGUAAAGCGGAUGAGCUGCAUACAGAGGUGGUGCAGCUGCAAAGUAAACUGGGUGAUGUUGGUUAAGAGGAGGCGCAGCAGCGGAGGCAAGCGGUUUCGCUGCAUGUAGAUGAUUCGCACCUGCUGUGUGAAGAGGAGGCGCAGCAGCGGAGUAAAGCGGUAAAGGUGGCGCUGCUGCAGGUUAGAGCGUAUAAGACUGCUGUGUAAAGUGGAUGAGCUGGAACAAAAGGAGAGGCAGCUGCGGAGUAAAGUGGAUGAGCUGCAAAAAGAGAAGGAGCAGCUACAAAGUAAAGUGGGUGAGGUGAAGGAAGAGCAGGUGCAGCUACAAUGUAAAGUGGGUGAGGUUGAUGAAGAGCAGGUGCAGCUACAAUGUAAAGUGGGUGAGGUUGAUGAAGAGCAGGUGCAGCUACAAAGUAAAGUGGGUGAGGUUGAUGAAGAGCAGGUGCAGCUACAAUGUAAAGUGGGUGAGGUUGAUGAAGAGCAGGUGCAGCUACAAUGUAAAGUGGGUGAGGUUGAUGAAGAGAAGGAGCAGCUGCUAAGUAAAGUGAAUGAUGUGUGUGAAGAACAGACGCUGCUGCAGAGUGGUGCGAAUUUGCAGCGUGAAAAGUUGGCGAAGCUGCUGCUUAAAGUGAAUUCGCUGUGUGAAGAACAGGUGAAGCUGCAGCGUGAGGUAGAUGCGGAGCUUGAAAUUGAGGCGGAGCUGCAGAGUCAAGUGAAUGUCCUGUGUGAAAUGGAGGCAAAGCUGUGGCAUGAAGCAGAUAAUCAGCAUAAAGCAUCCUCAAGCGGGUGCGUGGCAAGAUAAACUUAGGCGGUGGUUGUUCUCGGCAUCCUGGUGGAUGUUGCUGGCAGCCACAUGUAUUUUAUACAUCAGUGUGAUCCUGGACGGCGAGGUCAACAUCCACAAGGCCGUGAAGAGCAAGGAUCCCUCCAUUAAAUGGCUGACCAUCUGCUGCGUCAUCUUAGAACUCACCAGCUUGAUGUGCUCUAUUUUAAUUGGUAUACUGAGAAUUAUGAUUGGAUGAAGGGGUGGAGUUUAGAGCUGCAGAUCGGUGUGAGAGUUUAGUUAACGAUGUGACUGGGAGGAAUUCAUGGACCAGUUGGGACUUACCUCGGACGUGCUUUGGAGUAUCGUUGCUAUGGCGAUAAAGGAUCGGUUCGGUAGAGGAGGGACUACAGAAAGAUCUACAGCUUCAGAGGAGGGAAUUUGGUGUUCCAGCCGCCUGGGAAGCCGUUCAGAAUGAUGGAGGGAAAGAGAUCAGACUCACCAGAACCCAGCUGUGUGUCCAUGAAGACUGACAAGUCAAUAGAACGUCCAUUUAACUUCAGAGACAGAGACAGUUCUACUGAUGUGAGAAUGAUGGAGGGAAAGAGAUCAGACUCACCAGAACCCAGCUGUGUGUCCAUGAAGAGUGACCAGUCAAUGGAUCCUCCAAUUAACUUCAGAGACAGAGACAGUUCUACUGAUGUGAGACCACAAAAAUCAAACAUCAGCACAAAUCAGCUGGACUCUAUAUUCAAGGUG